GUUGCAUAGGUACACACGUGGCAGUGUGAUAUGCUGUCUUCCUCCCCUUCACCCACAUCUGGCAUUUCUCCCCAUGCUAUCCCUCCCAGUGCCCGCUUGCUGUCCCACCCCUAUUUCCCCCAGUAGAGCCCAAUGUGUAGUGCUCCGCUCCCUGUGUCCAUGUGUUCUCAUUGUUCAUCACCAGUCUACGAGCAAGAAUAUGCGGUAUUUCAUUUUCUGUUCUUGUGUCAGUUUGCUGAGAAUGAUGGUCUCCAGAUUCAUCCAUGGAUCGGAAGAUCCCACUUGGGAGCCCACACCACUGGGGCCUUGGGUCCCAACCAUGGAACCAUGCAGAUUCUCAACAAUUACUUGGCUAGAAACAGCCUAAGCCUGCAGAGUUCCUAGGGAAGGGGCAUGGGGGUAGGUGUGGCCAUCACCAAUGCUAUGGCUGCCUGUGGCCUAAGCCAUUUGAGCUUCAUGGGGGAAGGAUGGUAGUCAUCACUGUGGCUGCAGAGCCUCCCUGUGGGAACUCCAACUCCAGCCAGAGGCUCAGGGACAGAACUCUGAUCUCCCUGGAACUGGGCCCCUAGGAGGAGUGGAGGCUGUAGUCUCCACAGACCAGUAGACUUAGUCUUGCCUCUUGCUUCUCUAAAGAAUCCAGGCAGCCCAGAUGAGUGGGCUUUCCCCCAGUGUAGCACACCACUUCCACCAAGGGAUAGCCAAAGUGCUUCAUUAAAUGGAUUCUGCUUCCUGUGCCACCCAAUCGGGUGAGACCCCCUUAACAGGGGUUGUCAGACAUCCUAUAUAGGAGCAUUUUUACUGUCAUCAGGUUGGUGCCCCUUGAGCCCAGAGAUCCCAGAAGAAGGAGUAGGCACAUAUUUUUGCUAUUCUUUAGCCUUCUUGAGUGACAUCUCUGGGUGCAGGAGCAAAC
rnacentral:lncRNA from 1 species